rnacentral:rRNA from 1 species
GCACCAGUGGGGAAUUUUGGACAAUGGACGCAAGUCUGAUCCAGCCAUUCCGCGUGCAGGAUGAAGGCCCUCGGGUUGUAAACUGCUUUUGUACGGAACGAAAAGGCUUCUCUUAAUACGAGGAGCUCAUGACGGUACCGUAAGAAUAAGCACCGGCUAACUACGUGCCAGCAGCCGCGGUAAUACGUAGGGUGCAAGCGUUAAUCGGAAUUACUGGGCGUAAAGCGUGCGCAGGCGGUUAUAUAAGACAGAUGUGAAAUCCCCGGGCUCAACCUGGGAACUGCAUUUUGUGACUGUAUAGCUAGAGUACGGUAGAGGGGGAUGGAAUUCCGCGUGUAGCAGUGAAAUGCGUAGAUAUGCGGAGGAACACCGAUGGCGAAGGCAAUCCCCUGGACCUGUACUGACGCUCAUGCACGAAAGCGUGGGGAGCAAACAGGAUU